CAAGAUUAUUAUUAUUUUUUUUAAAUAGCCCAGGUUUGUUUUUUAAUCUCUCUGCAGCCCAUGUUGAUAUCGGUGGCCUCCCUUUUUAUGGGCGCUGAGGCCAUAAACCUUCGAGAAGAGAGAUAAGCCAGGCACCUUGUUAAACAAAAUCCCCACCAACACGACAAACAUUCAAACAGGAGUGGCCUGCUUUUAUCUCGUCGCCACCCAGUUUUGACGGAGUCUGUUUCCCUUUUACAAAGGGUUUGCUGUCUGAGAAGUGAACAUGUUACCCAGGAGACCAAAAGGCACUCCCCAGGGAGGCAUUUCCCAAAGGAGUUGUGCUGUCCAGUCCAGAUGCGUGCGGCUGCUGCACUGACUCUCCAGGCUGCUGGAAAGCGCCUCGAUUUUUAUCUAUGGUGGGACAGAUCGGGGUUUUUGAUAACCUCAGUCUGUUUCCCUGAAGACGUGGGGAACAACCCCCGUAGGAGCCAUUAGAUCACAGGACACACGAAGAGUAAGAAGAUGCAUGCACACGGCAGAGCCAGCCAGGAUUCUGACCAGAGCCCGGGGGGCUGAUCAAAACCAUCAGGCCAGCAACGCAAGACCUCAGGUGGACCCAAGACCCCAAAUGAGUCACUUUCACAGCAUCAGGAACAUCGAUAUGAGUCACCUUUUCAAGUGAUGGGUCUGUUCUUUGUCACAUUCCCAGAACUAAUAAAGAUUUAUUUGUAUUACUACUAA